rnacentral:rRNA from 1 species
UACGUAGGCAGCAAGCGUUGUUCGGAAUUACUGGGCGUAAAGAGCGUGUAGGCGGCCAGGUAGGUCCGUUGUGAAAACUCGAGGCUCAACCUCGAGACGUCGAUGGAAACCAUCUAGCUAGAGUCCGGAAGAGGAGAGUGGAAUUCCUGGUGUAGCGGUGAAAUGCGCAGAUAUCAGGAAGAACACCCGUGGCGAAGGCGGCUCUCUGGUACGUGACUGACGCUGAGACGCGAAAGCUGGGGAGCGAACAGG